rnacentral:miRNA from 1 species
AGCGAUGAAUAGAGCCGAGCGAU